GUAAGGAGCUGACGUGUUGGGGAAUGUGAUGGCAACACCACAAGCAUGGAGCUGGCGGUGCAGGAAGCCAGAGAGGGAGCAGCCUCAUCCCACUGGGUGAAGGUGCCCAGGGAAGGGGAGAACAGCCUGGCCAGAGGCAGGUCACCAUGUGAUGAGCUGUUCCCACCUGGGGGCUUGCCAGCAGACCAGAAGAAGCCCUGCAGCAUCAGGCAUUAAUGGCGCUAUUUGGGGACAGCAGAAACUGGAGUAAGAUGGACAGAAAUCCACCCUGGUGUGCACAAACCAGGCCUUUCACCUGCUCUGAAUCUGCUGCUGCCUCAGCCACCCAAGAUGUGGGAAGGAUACGUGAGCAUUCUGAUGGACACAACAGCCACUUCCAACAGCAGGGGUUGUUUUCAGUCCUCAGUUCUUCCAAGUGCCUGAUGAUUUCAUAGCCCCUAUAGAGACUGACUUGGAGAAGUUGCUGGCCCACCCUAGCUGGGAUCUGCUGUCCAUAUCCCUGUGGAUGUUGCUGCUUCCAUACUGGAAAUACGUGUGGAUUUCAAUGGCAGUUAGAAAUCAUCGCUCUCCACCCAAAUUGUGACCAGCCAAGGAGACUGCAUCACUUGCUCAGAUCUUGGGAGCUUUAAUUGAGGAAAAGCAACU